ACCCUACCAUGCCCACUGACAGGACUAGUCCUGGUUAAGGUAACACACCCAGCCAUGCCAACUGAGAGGACUAGUCCUGGUUAAGGUAACACACCCUACCAUGCCCACUGACAGGACUAGUCCUGGUUAAGGUAACACACCCAGCCAUGCCAACUGAGAGGACUAGUCCUGGUUAAGGUAACACACCCUACCAUGCCCACUGACAGGACUAGUCCUGGUUAAGGUAACACACCCAGCCAUGCCAACUGAGAGGACUAGUCCUGGUAACACACCCAGCCAUGCCAACUGAGAGGACUAGUCCUGGUUAAGGUAACCGUGCCAACUGAGAGGACUGGUCCUGGUUAAGGUAACCAUGCCAACUGAGAGGACUAGUCCUGGUUAAGGUAACACACCCAGCCAUGCCAACUGAGAGGACUAGUCCUGGUUAAGGUAACACACCCAGCCAUGCCAACUGAGAGGACUAGUCCUGGUUAAGGUAACACACCCAGCCAUGCCAACUGAGAGGACUAGUCCUGGUUAAGGUAACACACCCAGCCAUGCCAACUGAGAGGACUAGUCCUGGUUAAGGUAACACACCCAGCCAUGCCAACUGAGAGGACUAGUCCUGGUUAAGGUAACACACCCAGCCAUGCCAACUGAGAGGACUAGUCCUGGUUAAGGUAACACACCCAGCCAUGCCAACUGAGAGGACUAGUCCUGGUUAAGGUAACACACCCAGCCAUGCCAACUGAGAGGACUAGUCCUGGUUAAGGUAACACACCCAGCCAUGCCAACUGAGAGGACUAGUCCUGGUUAAGGUAACACACCCAGCCAUGCCAACUGAGAGGACUAGUCCUGGUAACACACCCAGCCAUGCCAACUGAGAGGACUAGUCCUGGUAACACACCCAGCGAUGCCAACUGAGAGGACUAGUCCUGGUUAAGGUAACACACCCUACCAUGCCCACUGAGAGGACUAGUCCUGGUUAAGGUAACACACCCAGCCAUGCCCACUGAGAGGACUAGUCCUGGUAACACACCCAGCCAUGCCAACUGAGAGGACUAGUCCUGGUUAAGGUAACACACCCAGCCAUGCCAACUGAGAGGACUAGUCCUGGUAACACACCCAGCCAUGCCAACUGAGAGGACUGGUCCUGGUAACACACCCUACCAUGCCAACUGAGAGGACUAGUCCUGGUAACACACCCAGCCAUGCCAACUGAGAGGACUGGUCCUGGUAACACACCCUACCAUGCCAACUGAGAGGACUUGUCCUGGUUAAGGUUACACACCCUACCAUGCCAACUGAGAGGACUAGUCCUGGUUAAGGUAACACACCCUACCAUGCCAACUAAGAGGACUAGUCCUGGUUAAGGUAACACACCCAGCCAUGCCAACUGAGAGGACUAGUCCCCAACUGAGAGGACUAGUCCUGGUUAAGGUAACACACCCUACCAUGCGAUGCCAACUGAGAGGACUGGGCUAUAUCUCUGUCUAUAUCUCUAUCUCUCUCUCUGUCUCUCUCUGUCUCUCUCUGUCUCUCUCUCUCUGUCUCUCUCUCUCUCUCUCUGUCUCUCUCUCUCUGUCUCUCUCUCUGUCUCUCUCUCUCUGUCUCUCUCUCUCUGUCU